CACCAAGGCUAUGACGGGUAGGGGGUGUGAGAGCAUGACCCCCAACAAGGGCACUGAGACACGGGCCCUACUCCUACGGGAGGCAGUAGCCGAGAAUCUUCGGCAAUGGGCGAAAGCCUGACCGAGCGACACCGCGUGUGGGAAGAAUGGUUUCGACUUGUAAACCACUUUUCUCUGUGAAGAAUUCCGAUUUAUCGGAAUGACAUUACCAGAGGAAUAAGGAGCUGCAAACUACGUGCCAGCAGCAGCGGUAAUACGUAGGCUCCAAGCGUUAUCCGGAUUUACUGGGCGUAAAGCGUCCUUAGGCGGUUUUGUUAGUUCGUUGUUAAAACCCCUAGCUCAACUAGGGAGAAGCAAUGAAUACGGCAGAACUAAGAGGGAGAAAGAGGUUGGCGGAACACACGGUGUAGGGGUGAAAUCCGUUGAUAUCGUGUGGAACACCGAAAGCGAAGGCAGCCAACUGGGUCUUUCCUGACGCUCAAAGACGAAAGCGUGGGUAGCAAAAAGGAUUAGAUACCCUUGUAGUCCACGCCCUAAACGAUGGGUGCUAGUUGCUGGUAGUAUCGACCCUAUCAGUGACGAAGCUUACGCGUUAAGCACCCCGCCUGGGAAGUACGGUCGCAAGACUAAAACUCAAAGGAAUAGACGGGAGUUCGCACAAGCGGUGGAACAUGAGGUUUAAUUCGAUAGCAAACGAAGAACCUUACCAGGGCUUGAAAUUCUGAUGAAAUUUCAGCGAAAGUUGGAACCUCUGCAAGGACAUCAGAACAGGUGCUGCAUGGUUGUCGUCAGCUCGUGGCGCGAGUCGUUCCCUUCAGUGGGGAAACGAGCGCAACCCCUGUCCUAUGUUACAAG
rnacentral:rRNA from 1 species